rnacentral:snRNA from 1 species
AAAUGAUAAAAAUAUCUCUCAGGGCCUUGAUUAAGACCAAGAGAACAAUUUUUGGAAACCCUAUUCUCAGGAAUAGGGUG